rnacentral:sRNA from 1 species
UGUAUCUGAAGCCUGACGAGGAUGAGAACCUCCGGGGGCAAGAGGUUCGACCCGAGCGAAGCGAGAGAACGUUGCGUCAGCAACGGCCCGCAGGGC